rnacentral:misc_RNA from 1 species
GAUGAAGAACGUAGCGAAAUGCGAUAAGUAAUGCGAAUUGCAGAAUUUCCGUGAGUCAUCGAAUCUUUGAACGCACAUUGCGCCCACUGGUAUUCCGGUGGGCAUGCCUGUUCGAGCGUCAUUAUCCUCCCUCAAACCUCGGGUUUGGUGUUGGACCCAAGUUGUGUGAACAACUGGUCUCAAAGACAAUGACGGCGUCCGUGGGACCCUCGGUGCAACGAGCUUUUAGGAGCACGCGUCGAGUUUCAAGGACCUUCCGGGCCGGUCUCCUCUACUAUUUUUACAAGGUUGACCUCGGAUCAGGUAGGAAUACCCGCUGAACUUAAGCAUAUCAAUAAGCGGAGGA